rnacentral:tRNA from 2 species
GCCGCGGUGGCGGAAUUGGUAGACGCACAGGAUUCAAAAUCCUGCGAUGGCAACAUCAUGAGAGUUCGAUUCUCUCCCGCGGCACCA